rnacentral:rRNA from 1 species
GAGGUUAAGCGACUAAGCGUACACGGUGGAUGCCCUGGCAGUCAGAGGCGAUGAAGGACGUGCUAAUCUGCGAUAAGCGUCGGUAAGGUGAUAUGAACCGUUAUAACCGGCGAUUUCCGAAUGGGGAAACCCAGUGUGUUUCGACACACUAUCAUUAACUGAAUCCAUAGGUUAAUGAGGCGAACCGGGGGAACUGAAACAUCUAAGUACCCCGAGGAAAAGAAAUCAACCGAGAUUCCCCCAGUAGCGGCGAGCGAACGGGGAGGAGCCCAGAGCCUGAAUCAGUGUGUGUGUUAGUGGAAGCGUCUGGAAAGGCGCGCGAUACAGGGUGACAGCCCCGUACACAAAAAUGCACAUA